rnacentral:rRNA from 1 species
AUUGAACGCUGGCGGCAGGCCUAACACAUGCAAGUCGAGCGGAUGAAGGGAGCUUGCUCCUGGAUUCAGCGGCGGACGGGUGAGUAAUGCCUAGGAAUCUGCCUGGUAGUGGGGGAUAACGUCCGGAAACGGGCGCUAAUACCGCAUACGUCCUGAGGGAGAAAGUGGGGGAUCUUCGGACCUCACGCUAUCAGAUGAGCCUAGGUCGGAUUAGCUAGUUGGUGGGGUAAAGGCCUACCAAGGCGACGAUCCGUAACUGGUCUGAGAGGAUGAUAAGUCACACUGGAACUGAGACACGGUCCAGACUCCUACGGGAGGCAGCAGUGGGGAAUAUUGGACAAUGGGCGAAAGCCUGAUCCAGCCAUGCCGCGUGUGUGAAGAAGGUCUUCGGAGUGUAAAGCACUUUAAGUUGGGAGGAAGGGCAGUAAGUUAAUACCUUGCUGUUUUGACGUUACCAACAGAAUAAGCACCGGCUAACUUCGUG